rnacentral:rRNA from 1 species
UGGGGAAUUUUGCACAAUGGGGGAAACCCUGAUGCAGCGACGCCGCGUGAUUUAGAAGGCCUUCGGGUUGUAAAAAUCUUUUCUAUGGGAAUAAAAUGACAGUACCAUAGGAAUAAGGACCGGCUAAUUACGUGCCAGCAGCCGCGGUAAUACGUAAGGUCCGAGCGUUGUCCGGAAUCAUUGGGCGUAAAGGGUACGUAGGCGGGUAAGCAAGUUAGAAGUGAAAUCCUAUAGCUCAACUAUAGUAAGCUUUUAAAACUGCUCAUCUUGAGGUAUGGAAGGGAAAGUGGAAUUCCUAGUGUAGCGGUGAAAUGCGCAGAUAUUAGGAGGCAUACCGGUGGCGAAGGCGACUUUCUGGCCAUAACCUGACGCUGAGGUACGAAAGCGUGGGUAGCAAACAGG